rnacentral:rRNA from 1 species
CCUACGGGGGGCUGCAGUGAGGAAUCUUGCGCAAUGGGCGAAAGCCUGACGCAGCGACGCCGCGUGACUGAUGAAGUCCUUCGGGAUGUAAAAGUCUUUUGCCAGGGAAGAAGGAUGUGACGGUACCUGGCGAAUAAGCCCCGGCUAACUACGUGCCAGCAGCCGCGGUAAUACGUAGGGGGCGAGCGUUGUCCGAAGUCACUGGGCGUAAAGCGCGCGUAGGCGGUCUUUUAAGUUGGAUGUGAAAUCCUGCGGCCCAACCGCAGAACUGCAUCCAAAACUGGGAGACUUGAGGAUGGAAGAGGGCAGUGGAAUUCCUGGUGUAGCGGUGAAAUGCGUAGAUAUCAGGAGGAACACCCGUGGCGAAGGCGGCUGCCUGGUCCAUAUCUGACGCUGAGGUGCGAAAGCCAGGGGAGCGAACGGGAUUAGAUACCCCAGUAGUC